ACUAUUACAGGUACGGGCUCUGAGAGGAGUAGCCCGGAGAUGGGUACUGAGACACGGACCAGGCCCUAUGGGGCGCAGCAGGCGAGAAAACUUUGCAAUGUGCGAAAGCACGACAAGGUUAAUCCGAGUGGUUUCUGCUAAAGAAACCUUUUGUCAGUCCUAGAAACACUGAUGAAUAAGGGGUGGGCAAGUUCUGGUGUCAGCCGCCGCGGUAAAACCAGCACCUCAAGUGGUCAGGAUGAUUAUUGGGCCUAAAGCAUCCGUAGCCGGCUCUGUAAGUUUUCGGUUAAAUCUGUACGCUCAACGUACAGGCUGCCGGGAAUACUGCAGAGCUAGGGAGUGGGAGAGGUAGACGGUACUCGGUAGGAAGGGGUAAAAUCCUUUGAUCUAUUGAUGACCACCUGUGGCGAAGGCGGUCUACCAGAACACGUCCGACGGUGAGGGAUGAAAGCUGGGGGAGCAAACCGGAUUAGAUACCCGGGUAGUCCCAGCUGUAAACUAUGCAAACUCAGUGAUGCAUUGGCUUGUGGCCAAUGCAGUGCUGCAGGGAAGCCGUUAAGUUUGCCGCCUGGGAAGUACGUACGCAAGUAUGAAACUUAAAGGAAUUGGCGGGGGAGCACCACAAGGGGUGAAGCCUGCGGUUCAAUUGGAGUCAACGCCAGAAAUCUUACCCGGAGAGACAGCAGAAUGAAGGUCAAGCUGAAGACUUUACCAGACAAGCUGAGAGGUGGUGCAUGGCCGUCGCCAGCUCGUGCCGUGAGAUGUCCUGUUAAG
rnacentral:rRNA from 1 species